rnacentral:rRNA from 1 species
GAUGAACGCUAGCGGCAGGCCUAAUACAUGCAAGUCGAACGGGAUCCAGAUCAAAGCUUGCUUUGGUUUGGUGAGAGUGGCGCACGGGUGCGUAACGCGUGAGCAACCUACCCUUGUCAGGGGGAUAGCCCGGCGAAAGUCGGAUUAAUACCGCAUGACAUCAUUGAGAGGCAUCUUUCGAUGAUCAAAGAUUUAUCGGACAAGGAUGGGCUCGCGUGACAUUAGCUAGUUGGUAAGGUAACGGCUUACCAAGGCUGCGAUGU